rnacentral:rRNA from 1 species
GGCGGCGUGGAUAAGACAUGCAAGUCGAACGAGAGAAUUGCUAGCUUGCUAAUAAUUCUCUAGUGGCGCACGGGUGAGUAACACGUGAGUAACCUGCCCCCGAGAGCGGGAUAGCCCUGGGAAACUGGGAUUAAUACCGCAUAGUAUCGAAAGAUUAAAGCAGCAAUGCGCUUGGGGAUGGGCUCGCGGCCUAUUAGUUAGUUGGUGAGGUAACGGCUCACCAAGGCGAUGACGGGUAGCCGGUCUGAGAGGAUGUCCGGCCACACUGGAACUGAGACACGGUCCAGACACCUACGGGUGGCAGCAGUCGAGAAUCAUUCACAAUGGGGGAAACCCUGAUGGUGCGACGCCGCGUGGGGGAAUGAAGGUCUUCGGAUUGUAAACCCCUGUCAUGUGGGAGCAAAUUAAAAAGAUAGUACCACAAGAGGAAGAGACGGCUAACUCUGUGCCAGCAGCCGCGGUAAUACAGAGGUCUCAAGCGUUGUUCGGAAUCACUGGGCGUAAAGCGUGCGUAGGCUGUUUCGUAAGUCGUGUGUGAAAGGCGCGGGCUCAACCCGCGGACGGCACAUGAUACUGCGAGACUAGAGUAAUGGAGGGGGAACCGGAAUUCUCGGUGUAGCAGUGAAAUGCGUAGAUAUCGAGAGGAACACUCGUGGCGAAGGCGGGUUCCUGGACAUUAACUGACGCUGAGGCACGAAGGCCAGGGGAGCGAAAGGGAUUAGAUACCCCUGUAGUCCUGGCAGUAAACGGUGCACGCUUGGUGUGCGGGGAAUCGACCCCCUGCGUGCCGGAGCUAACGCGUUAAGCGUGCCGCCUGGGGAGUACGGUCGCAAGAUUAAAACUCAAAGAAAUUGACGGGGACCCGCACAAGCGGUGGAGUAUGUGGCUUAAUUCGAUGCAACGCGAAGAACCUUACCUGGGCUUGACAUGUAAUGAACAACAUGUGAAAGCAUGCGACUCUUCGGAGGCGUUACACAGGUGCUGCAUGGCCGUCGUCAGCUCGUGUCGUGAGAUGUUUGGUUAAGUCCAGCAACGAGCGCAACCCCUGUUGCCAGUUACCAGCACGUGAAGGUGGGGACUCUGGCGAGACUGCCCAGAUCAACUGGGAGGAAGGUGGGGACGACGUCAGGUCAGUAUGGCCCUUAUGCCCAGGGCUGCACACGUACUACAAUGCCCAGUACAGAGGGGGCCGAAGCCGCGAGGCGGAGGAAAUCCUAAAAACUGGGCCCAGUUCGGACUGUAGGCUGCAACCCGCCUACACGAAGCCGGAAUCGCUAGUAAUGGCGCAUCAGCUACGGCGCCGUGAAUACGUUCCCGGGUCUUGUACACACCGCCCGUCACAUCAUGGAAGCCGGUCGCACCCGAAGUAUCUGAAGCCAACCGCAAGGAGGCAGGGUCCUAAGGUGAGACUGGUAACUGGGAUGAAGU